rnacentral:sRNA from 1 species
UCACUUACCUGGACGGGGUCAACUCGCGAUCAAGAAGACGAGUGGCCUAGGCUAGUGACUCCCAUUGCACAUACCGGGAGGGUGCUAUGCUUAAGGUCUUCCCUAGAGGAAGAGCCUACGUCAUUAUUUGUGGCAGCGGGGGUUUGCGUUCGCGCAGCCCCUACCAUUUAUUUUCAGUCUAAAAUUCUAACUCGUUAGACAGUGUGUAAUGACUAAAUAAAGAAAUGAAUAAUAUAAGCGCAGGUACAGAAUUUUGCAAUACAAGUAUA